rnacentral:sRNA from 1 species
GCUUCUAUACGUGACCAUUUAGAUUUCAAUCGAGAUUUAGUAUCUUCUUCUUGGCCAGAAGUAAUGACAUCAUAUGCAUCAUCAAUAUCUAAAUCAGUUGGUAAAUUUAAUGGAAUAAUACGACUUUCAUAGUAUAUUUUAACCGUACUACCGUCUUCUACAGAUUGUGUCAUAUCAUAUACAUC